AACGAACGCUGGCGGCAUGCCUAACACAUGCAAGUCGAACGAGACCUUCGGGUCUAGUGGCGCACGGGUGCGUAACGCGUGGGAACCUGCCCUUAGGUUCGGAAUAACUCCCCGAAAGGGGUGCUAAUACCGGAUAAUGUCUUCGGACCAAAGAUUUAUCGCCUUUGGAUGGGCCCGCGUUGGAUUAGCUAGUUGGUAGGGUAAAAGCCUACCAAGGCGACGAUCCAUAGCUGGUCUGAGAGGAUGAUCAGCCACACUGGGACUGAGACACGGCCCAGACUCCUACGGGAGGCAGCAGUGGGGAAUAUUGGACACUGGGCGAAAGCCUGAUCCAGCCAUGCCGCGUGAGUGCUGAAGGCCUUAGGGUUGUAAAGCUCUUUUACCCGGGAUGAUAAUGACAGUACCGGGAGAAUAAGCUCCGGCUAACUACGUG
rnacentral:rRNA from 1 species